rnacentral:rRNA from 1 species
AAUUCAAGAGUUUGAUCCUGGUCAGAUUGAACGCGGCGGCAGGCCUAACACAUGCAAGUCGAGCGGUAGCACAGAGAGCUUGCUCUCGGGUGACGAGCGGCGGACGGGUGAGUAAUGUCUGGGAAACUGCCUGAUGGAGGGGGAUAAACUACUGGAAACGGUAGCUAAUACCGCAUAACGUCGCAAGACCAAAGUGGGGGACCUUCGGGCCUCAUGCCAUCAGAUGUGCCCAGAUGGGAUUAGCUAGUAGGUGGGGUAAUGGCUCACCUAGGCGACGAUCCCUAGCUGGUCUGAGAGGAUGACCAGCCACACUGGAACUGAGACACGGUCCAGACUCCUACGGGAGGCAGCAGUGGGGAAUAUUGCACAAUGGGCGCAAGCCUGAUGCAGCCAUGCCGCGUGUAUGAAGAAGGCCUUCGGGUUGUAAAGUACUUUCAGCGAGGAGGAAGGCAUUAAGGUUAAUAACCUUGGUGAUUGACGUUACUCGCAGAAGAAGCACCGGCUAACUCCGUGCCAGCAGCCGCGGUAAUACGGAGGGUGCAAGCGUUAAUCGGAAUUACUGGGCGUAAAGCGCACGCAGGCGGUCUGUCAAGUCGGAUGUGAAAUCCCCGGGCUCAACCUGGGAACUGCAUUCGAAACUGGCAGGCUAGAGUCUUGUAGAGGGGGGUAGAAUUCCAGGUGUAGCGGUGAAAUUCGUAGAGAUCUGGAGGAAUACCGGUGGCGAAGGCGGCCCCCUGGACAAAGACUGACGCUCAGGUGCGAAAGCGUGGGGAGCAAACAGGAUUAGAUACCCUGGUAGUCCACGCCGUAAACGAUGUCGACUUGGAGGUUGUGCCCUUGAGGCGUGGCUUCCGGAGCUAACGCGUUAAGUCGACCGCCUGGGGAGUACGGCCGCAAGGUUAAAACUCAAAUGAAUUGACGGGGGCCCGCACAAGCGGUGGAGCAUGUGGUUUAAUUCGAUGCAACGCGAAGAACCUUACCUACUCUUGACAUCCAGAGAACUUAGCAGAGAUGCUUUGGUGCCUUCGGGAACUCUGAGACAGGUGCUGCAUGGCUGUCGUCAGCUCGUGUUGUGAAAUGUUGGGUUAAGUCCCGCAACGAGCGCAACCCUUAUCCUUUGUUGCCAGCGGUUCGGUCGGGAACUCAAAGGAGACUGCCAGUGAUAAACUGGAGGAAGGUGGGGAUGACGUCAAGUCAUCAUGGCCCUUACGAGUAGGGCUACACACGUGCUACAAUGGCAUAUACAAAGAGAAGCGACCUCGCGAGAGCAAGCGGACCUCAUAAAGUAUGUCGUAGUCCGGAUUGGAGUCUGCAACUCGACUCCAUGAAGUCGGAAUCGCUAGUAAUCGUAGAUCAGAAUGCUACGGUGAAUACGUUCCCGGGCCUUGUACACACCGCCCGUCACACCAUGGGAGUGGGUUGCAAAAGAAGUAGGUAGCUUAACCUUUGGGAGCGAGGUACCAUAGAGUGUAGAGUAAA